rnacentral:rRNA from 1 species
ACUGAGAUACGGCCCAGACUCCUACGGGAGGCAGCAGUGGGGAAUAUUAGGCAAUGGGGGAAACCCUGACCUAGCAACGCCGCGUGAAGGAAGAAGGCUUUCGGGUUGUAAACUUCUUUUACCAGGGACGAAGAACGUGACGGUACCUGGAGAAAAAGCUCCGGCUAACUACGUGCCAGCAGCCGCGGUAAUACGUAGGGAGCAAGCGUUGUCCGGAUUUACUGGGUGUAAAGGGCGUGUAGGCGGAGCGGCAAGUCAGGAGUGAAAUCUCUGGGCUCAACCCAGAAACUGCUUUUGAAACUGUCGCCCUUGAGUAUCGGAGAGGCAGGCGGAAUUCCUUGUGUAGCGGUGAAAUGCGUAGAUAUAAGGAAGAACACCAGUGGCGAAGGCGGCCUGCUGGACGACAACUGACGCUGAGGCGCGAAAGCGUGGGGAGCAAACAGGAUUAGAUACCCUGGUAGUCCACGCUGUAAACGAUGAAUACUAGGUGUGGGGGGACUGACCCCUUCCGUGCCGCAGUUAACACAAUAAGUAUUCCACCUGGGGAGUACGACCGCAAGGUUGAAACUCAAAGGAAUUGACGGGGGCCCGCACAAGCAGUGGAUUAUGUGGUUUAAUUCGACGCAACGCGAAGAACCUUACCAGGAUUUGACAUCCCACUAACGAAGCAGAGAUGCAUUAGGUGCCCUUCGGGGAAAGUGGAGACAGGUGGUGCAUGGUUGUCGUCAGCUCGUGUCGUGAGAUGUUGGGUUAAGUCCCGCAACGAGCGCAACCCCUAUUGUUAGUUGCUACGCAAGAGCACUCUAGCGAGACUGCCGUUGACAAAACGGAGGAAGGCGGGGACGACGUCAAAUCAUCAUGCCCCUUACGUCCUGGGCUACACACGUAAUACAAUGGCGAUCAACAGAGGGAAGCAAAGCCGCGAGGUGGAGCAAAUCCCCAAAAGUUGUCUCAGUUCGGACUGCAGUCUGCAACUCGACUGCACGAAGUCGGAAUUGCUAGUAAUCGCGGAUCAGCAUGCCGCGGUGAAUACGUUCCCGGGCCUUGUACACACCGCCCGUCACACCAUGAGAGUUGGGAACACCCGAAGUCCGUAGUCUAACCCGCAAGGGAGGACGCGGCCGAAGGUGGGCCUGAUAAUUGGGGUGAAGUCGGAACAAGGUAGCCGUAUCGGAAGGUGCGGCUG